UCCGCUCGCCAACCUUUGGCCGCCCUGAGCCGUCGGGAGCCCGGCGACCGUCCCGAGCGCCUGCCAGCCCCGGCCUAGCGAGAGCAGAGCCGAAUGGGCGGGGGUGGUGGCUGUCUGAAGCAGCCCAGAUCUCGGGGUGAUAGCGUUAAUUACCGUCCUGUGGUGCCAAAGUCUGCCGGGCUCCGUGCGGAACAGAACGAAAUGACAUAUUCCCUGCCCCAAGGAGUUCACAAUCUAACGUGGAUCUGACAGCACGAGGGCGUGACACAGCACCGCGGGGUUGCAGCAGCAGAAUCGUGCUGUUGAGGUACUAGAUGCCUAAAGUUUGCUUCUUCAUGCAUUUCCUUCACCUGGACAACCUGCCAUCUCCAGGGAGCAGGACCUAGGAUUCUGGAAGCUGUUUUAUGUGAUCUGGAGUAGUCAUCUUCAUCCUCUGCUUCCCUGCUGGCUCCAAGUGACUUUGUGACUCUGCUCCGUAGAGACUGAACCUGGCUAGCACAGAAAAACACAUGGAAAGAUUGUUUAAAGUAUCAUUUUAGAGCUCCCAUUUUCACUAAUUCAAAGUCUCUUUCAGUGAUAGAAAUUGACCGCUAGUAUCUUAAAUUGACUGGUGGAUAUUAAUGGUCCAUUUCCACCUCUGUUUCUAUGGAAAUGGAUGUCAGUCUGGUGAGGGGGAAAUGAUUUUAAACAUAUACUUCAUAAAAGCUGUCAUGUACCUGAUGUCCUUUUUUCCCUAAAAUCUGACUCAGAAAGGUUUCUGGUAGCAACAACAAAGCACUGCUGACUGGUUUCAGCUGUAAGUGCAGGACUGGGCACCAAACUCAUUUUUCAAACAAAUGCAAAACAAAAUACCAAGUCCAAUGGCUUCUAGAUCAUGAUUUGUCAUUGUCUUGCAUCCUGUGUAAUAAUUCACUCUGUAAAAAAGUAUGCAUAAAAUGCUGUGAAAAUAGGAUGGGAGAAGCACUACAAAAAUGAGAUAAGAUGACUUCACUCCUGCAUUAAGUAUUCUUGUAAAGAACAAGGCAGAAUGUGAAGGAAAUGUGGGGAAGAAAAAAUGGCAAAUUUUAAAUAUCUCCUAAAUGGAGCAUAGACUUUGUUGGGCACCUUGGCUCUCCAGAGAGGCUUUACAAGUAAGUAGAAGGACAUUGGCUUACAGCAAUAUUUCUUUAGUUUUUUUUUUUUUUUU